rnacentral:rRNA from 1 species
GUGAACGCUGGCUGUAGGCCUAACACAUGCAAGUCGAACGGCAGCACAGUAAGAGCUUGCUCUUACGGGUGGCGAGUGGCGGACGGGUGAGGAAUACAUCGGAAUCUACUUUUUCGUGGGGGAUAACGUAGGGAAACUUACGCUAAUACCGCAUACGACCUACGGGUGAAAGCAGGGGACCUUCGGACCUUGCGCGAUUGAAUGAGCCGAUGUCGGAUUAGCUAGUUGGCGGGGUAAAGGCCCACCAAGGCGACGAUCCGUAGCUGGUGUGAGAGGAUGAUCAGCCACACUGGAACUGAGACACGGUCCAGACUCCUACGGGAGGCAGCAGUGGGGAAUAUUGGACAAUGGGCGCAAGCCUGAUCCAGCCAUACCGCGUGGGUGAAGAAGGCCUUCGGGUUGUAAAGCCCUUUUGUUGGGAAAGAAAAGCAGCAGGUUAAUACCCCGCUGUUCUGACGGUACCCAAAGAAUAAGCACCGGCUAACUUCGUG